CCUACGGGUGGCAGCAGUGAGGAAUAUUGGUCAAUGGGCGAACGCCUGAACCAGCCAAGUCGCGUGAGGGAAGACUGCCCUAUGGGUUGUAAACUUCUUUUGUCAGGGAGCAAAUGGCGCUACGUGUAGCGUUAUCGAGAGAACCUGAAGAAAAAGCAUCGACAAACUCCGUGCCAGCAGCCGCGGUAAUACGGAGGGUGCGAGCGUUAUCGGGAUUUAUUGGGUUAAAGGGGUGCGUAGGCGGAAUGCCAAGUCAGAGGUAAAAUCGCGGGGCUAAACCUCGCUCUGCCGUUGAAACUGGGGUUCUUGAGUGGACGAGAGGUAUGCGGAAUGCGUGGUGUAGCGGUGAAAUGCAGAGAUAUCACGCAGAACUCCGGUUGCGAAGGCAGCAUACUGGCGCCCAACUGACGCUGAGGCGCGAAAGCGUGGGUAGCGAACAGGAUUAGAUACCCCAGUAGUC
rnacentral:rRNA from 1 species